rnacentral:tRNA from 1 species
GCCGCUAUGGUGAAAUUGGUAGACACGCUGCUCUUAUGAAGCAGUGCUAAUGCAUCUCGGUUCGAGUCCGAGUGGCGGCA